rnacentral:rRNA from 1 species
AGAGUUUGAUCAUGGCUCAGAACGAACGCUGGCGGCAUGCCUAACACAUGCAAGUCGAACGCUCUCGGGGCUUCGGUUCCGGGGGAGUGGCGCACGGGUGAGUAGCGCGUGGGAACCUGCCCUGUUGUGGGGGAUAACCGAGGGAAACUUCGGCUAAUACCGCAUGCGCCCGGGGGUGACUCCGGGGAAAGAUUUAUCGCAGCAGGAGGGGCCCGCGUCGGAUUAGCUAGUUGGUGGGGUAACGGCCCACCAAGGCGAUGAUCCGUAGCUGGUCUGAGAGGAUGAUCAGCCACACUGGGACUGAGACACGGCCCAGACUCCUACGGGAGGCAGCAGUGGGGAAUAUUGGACAAUGGGCGCAAGCCUGAUCCAGCAAUGCCGCGUGAGUGAUGAAGGCCUUAGGGUUGUAAAGCUCUUUCGCCCGCGACGAUGAUGACGGUAGCGGGAGAAGAAGCCCCGGCUAACUUCGUGCCAGCAGCCGCGGUAAUACGAAGGGGGCGAGCGUUGUUCGGAUUUACUGGGCGUAAAGGGCGCGUAGGCGGCGUAUCAAGUCAGGCGUGAAAGCCCCGGGCUCAACCUGGGAAUGGCGCUUGGGACUGGUAUGCUUGAGUUCGGGAGAGGAGAGUGGAAUUCCCAGUGUAGAGGUGAAAUUCGUAGAUAUUGGGAAGAACACCGGUGGCGAAGGCGGCUCUCUGGACCGAGACUGACGCUGAGGCGCGAAAGCGUGGGGAGCAAACAGGAUUAGAUACCCCGGUAGUCC